UGCGUAGGCGGCGCGCUAAGUCAGUGGUGAAAGCCUCCCGCUCAACGGGAGAAAUGCCAUUGAUACUGGCGUGCUUGAGUACGGACGAGGUAGGCGGAAUUUAUGGUGUAGCGGUGAAAUGCAUAGAUACCAUAAAGAACACCGAUAGCGUAGGCAGCUUACUAGACCGUAACUGACGCUGAGGCACGAAAGCGUGGGGAGCGAACAGGAUUAGAUACCUGGUAGUCC
rnacentral:rRNA from 1 species